ensembl:lncRNA
GAGAGCUUCAUUCAACUUUAACGAUGGGCACGGGGGGUGGGAAGGGGAGCGGGGAGCCCGGGUUCCCGGCACCACGUGGCACACGCGUGGCAAAGCGCUGCCAGGAGGAGCGGGCACCGGCGGCGGCCACUUGGAUCUGUACGGAUCGAGGCGUGGAUGGGGCACGUGGCCACCAAAAGUGGCCAGAACGUGGCAAUGGCACAGAGCACAGGUAUGGCACGUGGCUAUGGGGACAUGGCCAGAAUGUGGCAAUGGCACAGCGGGGAUGUGGCACGUGGCCACCGAGCGUGGCAACAGCGUGGCGAUGGCACAGAGCAUGGACGUGGCACGUGGCCAUGGGGGCAUGGCAAGGUCCUGGCAAUGGCACAGGGCAUGGAUGUGGCACGUGGCCACUGAGCAUGGCCAGAACAUGGCAAUGGCACCACAUGGAUGUGGCAUGUGGCCACCAAGCAUGGCCAGAAUGUGGCAGUGUCACAGAGCAUGGAGGUGGCACGUGGCCAUGGGGACACGGCAAGGACCUGGCAAUGGCACAGGGCAUGGAUGUGGCACGUGGCCACCGAGCAUGGUGACAGUGUGGGAAUGGCACAGAGCAUGGAUGUGGCGCAUGGCCACCAAGAGUGGCACCAACAUGGCAAUGUCACAGAGCACAGAUGUGGCAUGUGGCCAUGGGGACACAGCAAGAACACAGCAAUGUCACACAGCGUGGAUAUGGCACGUGGCCACAAGCAUGGCACCAACAUGGGAAUGUCACAGANCACAGGUAUGGCACGUGGCUAUGGGGGCAUGGCCAGAACAUGGCAAUGGCACAGAGCACAGGUAUGGCACGUGGCUAUGGGGGCAUGGCCAGAACGUGGCAAUGGCACAGCGGGGAUGUGGCACGUGGCCACCGAGUGUGGCAACAGUGCGGCGAUGGCACAGAGCAUGGAGGUGGCACGUGGCCAUGGGGGCAUGGCAAGGACCUGGCAAUGGCACAGGGCAUGGAUGCGGCACGUGGCCACUGAGCAUGGCCAGAACAUGGCAAUGGCACCACAUGGAUGUGGCACGUGGCCACCAAGCAUGGCCAGAAUGUGGCAGUGUCACAGAGCAUGGAUGUGGCAUGUGGCCAUGGGGACACGGCAAGGACCUGGCAAUGGCAUCCAGGGCAUGGAUGUGGCACAUGGCCACCGAGCAUGGUGACAGUGUGGGAAUGGCACAGAGCAUGGAUGUGGCACGUGGCCAUGGGGACAUGGCAAGAACCUGGCAAUGGCACACAACGUGGAUGUGGCACAUGGCCACCAAGCAUGGCAGCAACACGGCAAUGGCACGAGUGUGUGGAUGUGGCACACAGACACCGAGCGUGGCACCAACACGGCCAUGGCAUGGAGCAUGGAUGUGGCACGUGGCCACCAAGCAUGGCACCAACAUGGCAAUGUCACAGAGCAUGGAUGUGGCACGUGGCCAUGGGGACACAGCAAGAACAUGGCAAUGUCACACAGCAUGGACGUGGCACAUGGCCACCAAGCAUGGCACCAACAUGGCAAUGUCACAGAGCACGGAUGUGGCACGUGGCCAUGGGGACACAGCAAGAACACAGCAAUGUCACACAGCGUGGAUAUGGCACGUGGCCACAAGCAUGGCACCAACACGGCAAUGUCACAGAGCACGGAUGUGGCACGUGGCCAUGGGGACACGGCAAGAACACGGCAAUGUCACACAGCGUGGACGUGGCACAUGGCCACCGAGCAUGGCAACAACACGGCAAUGUCACAGAGCACGGAUGUGGCACGUGGCCAUGGGGACACAGCAAGAACAUGGCAAUGUCACACAGCGUGGACGUGGCACGUGGCCACGAGCACGGCGANNNNNNNNNNNNNNNNNNNNNNNNNNNNNNNNNNNNNNNNNNNNNNNNNNNNNNNN